GAAUGCCGGAAUGAGUAGCGAGAAUUAUGUGAGAAUCAUAAUGGCCGGAAGACUAAGGUUUUAGAAGGAAGGUUCGUCCGCUUCUAGUUAGCCGGGAGCUAAGGCGAGGCCGAGAGGCGUAGUCGAUGCACAUACGGUUGAGAUUCCGUAGCUACCUUGCAUUUAAGCGAAGGGACACAUUGAAGGGCAUGACCCGGGCGUUGGUUGACCCGGGCGUAAGGGACCGAAAAUAAGUAGGGAAGCAUGCUUGGAUGGUGGCGAGAAAAGCUUCGUGUAUAUAAGCAGGGUACCCGUACUGCAAACCGACACAGGUAGUCAGGAAGAGGAUUCUAAGGCCAUCGGGAGAAGCGUUGUUAAGGAACUCGGCAAAUUGACCCCGUAACUUCGGAAUAAGGGGUGCUCACGCGAGUGAGCCGCAGUGAAUAGGUCCAGGCAACUGUUUAUCAAAAACACAGCUCUCUGCUAAAUCGUAAGAUGACGUAUAGGGGGUGACACCUGCCCGGUGCUGGAAGGUUAAGAGGAGGGGUGCAAGCUCCGAAUUGAAGCCCCAGUAAACGGCGGCCGUAACAAUAACGGUCCUAAGGUAGCGAAAUUCCUUGUCGGGUAAGUUCCGACCCGCACGAAUGGUGUAAUGAUCUGGACACUGUCUCAACAACGCACCCGGCGAAAUUGUAGUACCGGUGAAGAUGCCGGUUACCCGCGGCAAGACGGAAAGACCCCAUGGAGCUUCACUGUAGCCUGAUAUUGGGUCUCGGUAUUUUAUGUACAGGAUAGGCGGGAGACUUGGAAACCAGCACGCCAGUGUUGGCGGAGUCACCCUUGGGAUACCGCUCUUAAAGUAUUGAGAUUCUAACCUGCAGCCAUGAAUCUGACUGGGGGACAUUGUCAGGUGGGCAGUUUGACUGGGGCGGUCGCCUCCAAAAGAGUAACGGAGGCGUUCAAAGGUUCACUCAGCAUGGACGGAAACCAUGCCUUAGAGUGCAAACGCAUAAGUGAGCCUAACUGCGAGACUGACGGGUCGAGCAGUAACGAAAGUUGGAGUUAGUGAUCCGGCGGUAUGUGAGUGGAAAUGCCGUCGCUCAACGGAUAAAAGCUACCCUGGGGAUAACAGGCUGAUCUCCCCCAAGAGUCCACAUCGACGGGGAGGUUUGGCACCUCGAUGUCGGCUCAUCACAUCCUGGGGCUGAAUUCGGUCCCAAGGGUUCGGCUGUUCGCCGAUAAAGUGGUACGCGAGCUGGGUUCAGAACGUCGUGAGACAGUUCGGUCCCUAUCUGUCGUGGGCGUAGGAUAUUUGAAGGGCGCUGUUCCUAGUACGAGAGGACCGGAAUGGACGCACCGCUGGUGUAUCGGUUGUCAUGCCAAUGGCACGGCCGAACAGCUAUGUGCGGAUGGGAUAAACGCUGAAAGCAUCUAAGCGUGAAGCCCUCCCUAAGAUAAGAUAUCCCACUGUUUGCAGUUAAGACCCCUUAUGGACUAUGAGGUUGAUAGGCUGCGUGUGUAAGUAUGGUGACAUAUUUAGCUAGGCAGUACUAAUAGGUCGAGGGCUUGACCG
rnacentral:rRNA from 1 species